UAGGGAAUCUUCGGCAAUGGGGGGAACCCUGACCGAGCAACGCCGCGUGAGUGAAGAAGGUUUUCGGAUCGUAAAGCUCUGUUGUUAAGGAAGAACGAGUGUGAGAAUGGAAAGUUCAUGCUGUGACGGUACUUAACCAGAAAGGGACGGCUAACUACGUGCCAGCAGCCGCGGUAAUACGUAGGUCCCGAGCGUUGUCCGGAUUUAUUGGGCGUAAAGCGAGCGCAGGCGGUUAGAAAAGUCUGAAGUGAAAGGCAGUGGCUCAACCAUUGUAGGCUUUGGAAACUGUUUAACUUGAGUGCAGAAGAGGAAAGUGGAAUUCCAUGUGUAGCGGUGAAAUGCGCAGAGAUAUGGAGGAACACCAGUGGCGAAGGCGACUUUCUGGUCUGUAACUGACGCUGAUGUGCGAAAGCGUGGGGAUCAAACAGG
rnacentral:rRNA from 1 species